rnacentral:hammerhead_ribozyme from 1 species
GCACCGCUGACGAGUCCCACAAUAGGACGAAAUGGCCGUCCAGUGU